UAGGCUAACGGACAUGGGGGGGGGGCGUAGAAAAGUCGCUUGUUUUUGGGCUUGUUUUCACAGGCCUGGGGCCUCAUUUAUAAAACUUUGCGUAGGAUUUGCGUCAGAAGUGGUGUACGGAUGAAACAUAGGACGGGCGUACGCACAGAAAUAUUCGGAUUUAUAAAACCGUUCGCACGCACAUCCUACGCAUUUUUCCCUUAAUAAAUCACAAUAAAUUCUAAAUGUAGCGCAGCUUUUGCGGCUUCAUGACACGCCCAUAGUUGCCAAUAAAUAGUCCGUGAAACGCCCACAAGUUAAUAUGCAUUGAUUGCGAAAUCAUGGCAAACACAUAGAGGAAAUUAAAAAAAAACGUAAAUUCACUCAAUGUGAAGUAGAAGUUAUCGUUGGCGAGGGGGAAAAGAGGAGAAAAACGUUGUUUGGAGGGCACAGUGUGGGCAUUACGCAUUGUGAUGGGGCAUUUUAUUUCCAUUCAUUUAAUUGCAUCUGACAAGCUACAGAUGUCGGUAAUAAUCGACGUGGAAAUGGGACAUUGUUCAGCGCAAAUGUAAUUUCUUGUUGCUUCCUGAAUGGUUGAGACAUACGCCAUACAUUGUUUUAUCAAAAAUAAAACACACUAAAGGCAUAUGCAUGAAUACCAUAAUUCCGUAGAUUAUGAAGAUAUGGUUUACUAUGAAAACAACUUUCCCCAGUGGACAAUUAAUACAUCUAUCUAUCUAUCUAUCUAUCUAUCUAUCUAUCUAUCUAUCUAUCUAUCUAUCUAUCUAUCUAUCUAUCUAUCUAUCUAUCUAUCUAUCUAUCUAACUAUAUAUCUCCUUAAUUAUCUAUCUAUCUGUCUAUGUAAUUGCAUCUAUAUCUGCUCCGCCAGACGGACACAUUGACGAGAAUAUCAGUUUUGUACAUUAUUUCGUUCUGUUAACUAUAUUCUUUAUGAGGAUGAAUUGCACAACAUGCCAAUAUUAUUGCAGAACAUAUUUCACUUUUCUUUUAGCAAAUAUGUGUUCAUUUGAAUUUUUGUUGUAAUUUUCUAUUUAUUUAUUUAUUUUGUUUCACUGCUGAUCGAUCAAACGGGUGUUCGUGUAGGCUGUUAAUUGUAAGUCUUGCUUUGUGAAGUCUUCAUGUUAUUUAUGAGAGGUAGUGUUGUCAUUUUUACUUUCACUUUCACGUGUUUCUUCCAUCUGCCGUCGGUGUCGCCAUUUCUCAUUUCACCCGUUUUUGUGCGUACGCCUGGGUCAGAGCUUGCGUGACGGACAGCACAUUUUCCCAAGUACACCUGGCUGCAGCCUGCAGAUUUGGGCGAGGAUGCACCUGGUACGGGACUGCACGUGCAGGCCCUCCCACACUGUUUCUCAUUGGACGGGACUGCACGUGCAGGCCCUCCCACACUGCUUCUCAUUGGUUAGUGGCGUGAAGUCAUGACGUCGAUUUAGCAAGUUUUCAUUUCCGAUGUUUAUCGCUGCAUGCCUGUCAUGCCUUGCAUUAGUGUCUGGUGCUUUUGGAGAAUUCAUCCUUUGAGGUCAGAGAUGCUGAAAGUGCAACUCCAGUAAAAGAGGAGAGUAGAGAGCAGAGGUGAUGAAAUCCCCCUGCAUGUUGAUUAUUUGACCAAGAUGCCGAUUGACAUCCUCUGGUGGAUCCUGAUGGAAGUCGUUACAGAGACGGCGUUGUGGCUUUCUGGAGACUUUCACUGAUGUGCAAGGUCUUUAUGGACGUUGUCAGCAAACCCAAAUUCACUGUAUGGCUGGACAGUGUUGUGAGUUGGAGUGCAUUUUCCAGACAAUAUAGGCAAGAGCUCCGGGUGCCCUACUCGUUGACUUUGAAAUAUACAAGGACUGCCCACCUGGGUAUCUAGGUGAUGGCAGAAGGGGACUCCUGAAUGGGUUUUAUUCCGACAAGGAGGUUCAGGGCUAUUGCUCGGUUGAUUGUUUUUUCAAUGAUGGAGGGGAACUUCUGUGUAGAUUGUGUGUACGGUUAAUGUACCGUACAUGAUUAUCUGUGUGUGUAUUAUGUCUUUUUAACAAUUAUUUUUGUUUUGAAAUAAAAGUUAUCACUGGUAUGGGUUUGGUUUUUUUGAGUUGGCAUGCAUACUAUGGGAUACAGAGAUUGACAAUGUACUGUAUGUAGUUUAACUACAAACUACUUUCUAGGCAUAAAUGUUUAAUAAUAGCCUAUAUCACUAAUUCUUGAAUCUUUGGCAGAAACAUGUCCCACUAAGAAAAGUGCUAAUUCUGAUUGAAAUUAAUAAAAUUUUCAUGAAAAAAAAGAAUCUAUGUUAUAAUCAGGGGGUCCUUUGCACAUAUGUAAGGUUUUUAUAGGUUUAUUUUGAUUUUUUAUUAAUUUAAUGAUUAUAUGCUGGCCCAUUGCCUACAAAAUCAGCUGUCCUCGGUUAAGAGAUAAUCAUUUCAACUUGAUUAGAAAAGCCAAAAGUAAUAAUUGAAUUGAAUAAUAUAUUUACCGCAUGAAAGGGUACAUUGUAAUAUGUAUUAAAAACUAUUUGAACUUUGAACAAUAUUUACUAUUAUUUUGUGAUUGCUCAAAAUGUGUCCCACAUAUUUGUCACCACCGUCAGAUAUUUAUAAAAAGCAAUAAAAUCAGACAACUACAGGGUCAACUGCAUUCCUGAGGACCCCAUUUUCAAACCUUCAGCUCUUCUGCAUGCUUCAAGAUCACUCAAGCUCCUGUAUGUUUGUUAUUUUCUCUUAAACUUCUUAUUUUGGGCACUGCUACUGUGACAACCAUAAUGUCAACACCGUCAUCUUUGUAAAAAAAAUAUUAUAUUAGAUUAUGAAAUAAAUGUAUCAUUUUUAAGAAGAGGUCUGAAGUAACUAGCAACAGAGGGGAAACAAGAUGGCUAAUGUGAACAACUCAUCUAUUUUUUAAAUCUAUAUUAGGUUUUUGUCACCACCGUCAGAUGUCACCACUGUCAGGUUUUCUGUCUUUUCUGUCAGGUUUUAUGUAUUUUAGGAAGUUAUUUGAUAUUUUUUCAUCACAGUGCUCAGGAUUGUUAUUUUUUGGACCAAAUAUUUACAUAAAGUUUAAGCAAGAAGCCAUUGACUUGAGUGGUAUACAUUUUGGAAUAAUGAGGCCAAUGUCACCACCGUCAGAUUAGUGUCACCACCGUCAGACGUAGUUUUAAAUGAAUAUGCUUAGGCCUACAAUAUGUUUCUUCAGUGCUGUUGAGUUAUUAAAUUAAUAUUCUAUAAUACAAAAAUAUGUUUAUUAAAUAAAAAAAUCAUUACUUUUUCUAUUUAGGCUUAAAGUAAAUGUUGUAUGAGUAAUAACUGGAAAAACGCCUAUUUCAUAAAAAAAUACGAACAGGGGAGGUUGCACCAGUAAAUUGCUGAAUAGCCAAGACCUUGGUCUAUAAUGAUAUAUCUUCAGAUUUUGUAAUUUAACUACCUUUUUUUUUUCAAAAUUUAAAACUGCACUGUAACAAAUUUCUGUAAUUUCUACAGCAAAAUUUUACAGUUACUUCUUGUUCUGUCAUUUUACAAAGUUUAGCUGUUCAUUGCAAUGCAUUGUGGGUCAAAAAACUAUUACAGAAGUUGACAGCUUUUCCCCCACAAUAAAUUACAUGUAUAUUUGCGCUUGCCUGUAAAUGAUGCAGUAUUACAGUUAUUCACUGUUGAAUGCGUUGCACGAGGCAGCUUGACGCCAUUUUAUGUCAGAUGCAGAGGAGCAGGGACAUUGCCACGCCACUCAUGCACAAAAUGUGUUGGCAACAGCAACAGACAUUGAAAAAAGACUACAGUUUCCUGACUCUAAUUGUCUUAGGUGAAUCAGCGUUUGGAUGCUGAGCAUCGGGUGGUUGUGCCUCCACAUCCCAACUUCGUGGCUGGAAUGGCAGCUUUGUUUUCUAGCUACUACAACUUCAAUAUUGUGUACCGGGAGCAAGUGCACACUGGAGUUCAUUCAAAGGUAACUAUUUGCUUGAAGUACAAUGCGGUUUAUCAUUAUUUUGUAAAGUGUGCUAUUAUGAGUAACAGAGAUUUUAUUUUGCUUUAGGUGUGCUUACAGGAAAUUCCUUUAACAUGAUUUUUAGUUGAUAAAUUGGGUUAAGUUAGCAGUUAUUUACCCAAAAGCUUUAUAUCAUUGCAGAACCAAUUCAUUGUAACAUUCAAACAUUGACAAUAAAGAUUUAUUUGAUUAUAUAUUUUGAAAAGUAGUUCUGCAUUGGGGUAACUAAGCAUUUAGGUAAAUAAACUGCAAACUUGCUUUUUUUAUGGCAUUCACAAGAAAUCCCAUAUGUCCAUUUCAUAUGCCCACCCAGGCCUCACCCUCCCCACUAUGGCAGUGAUGCUCAAGGCAAACACACAAAAAAGGAUCUGUAUGCAUAUACUGUAUACACACACCCACAUAUAUAUAAUGAUACAUAAAUAUAUCUUACAAACCUACCUAGAUGUUUUUUUAACAAAAAAGAGAGAUUGCAUGAUCUUUGAUGAUCAUUCAUUUAUUCAUGGUUUCAUUGGGGAAUGAAUGAGACUUUGUUAUGAAAACCAUAGGAUUCGGAGUCAUUUGAGUAGUUCUUUUGGAGUUUUUUCACAAGACUGUAGGCCUACAUGUUUUCAACUGUAGUGAUGUAGUUGCAUGGACAUAGCCCUGUACUAUGAGUCCUUUAAUUGUAGAUCUUUGGAUGGACCAGCCCAACAGCAGCAAACUUAGACAACCAAAGAACAUUUUACCAAAGACAUGUCUUGUGUUCCUCAACAGAAUAAAUUUAUUUUCCUGCUUUAGGGUGCCCUCUGACCACUCCCUACAUUUGAACAAUUUUGUCCAUUACAGACUGACAGUAUAACUAGUGGAGCCUCGUAUCUACGUAUCUAGAAUGUUUUUCAAGUCUGAAAGCACUAUAAAGUCGCUUAAUACACUUAAUAUGGUGUAUUAUGUUAUGAAUACUAAAAUGUUACAUUGUUGUGGUUUGUUUUAUGUUUUGUUGUCCUUUGAAGUAGGGGAUAGUCAGGAAAUUUUCUACCAGAGGACCUGUUAAUGCAACUAACCUAACCAUAACUCAUGCAAUUUUGUGACUAGAAAUCAAAAUCAUCCCUUCAACUGUUAUGACCCUAUAUUUCACUAUUGUCAUUGCAUUGCAGAGCCACUUCCUGGUUUAGCUUGCCUGGACAGCACAACUGAAAUUAAAUGAAUAAUAAUUACCCGCUGAAUUUUUCUGUUGCAGUUUUUCUGCACUUAAGCUGAAAAGGGCAAAUCAGCUUGAUUUGCACAGCCUGAUGUAUUUUGCACUCUCACGUAGAGCAGUUAGGGGACUUUUUCAUAAAGUUUAUUUUCAUGUGAUUUUGUGAUUUCAGAUGCUUCAUUGGACUGAACCCCUCCAGUGGGACCAAGACAGCAAAGGUGAUUAGCCAAAAAAGAGGGAAGGUAGAGGAGAAAAAGAAGAACUGCAUUAACCCUCACGUCACCUCUCUACUUAAGCGGCUGAUAGAUUUUGAAUGGCUUCAAUUGUAAGUCUCAAGCGACUUCCUCACAAUAUGAAUGGACAAUGUUCUAAAUGUUUUCUGAAUUUCACUGAAUGUUAAGAAAAUGAGUAGAAUAUGCUGUUAAGAAAAAGACAUUCUGAAAAUGUACAGUAUUGUAACAUUGUAUUUUGUUUUAAUAAUAAAAUUUCAUGAUUUUGCAUCUUGGACUAUGGUUUUAUUUAACAGUUGAAGAGAAUCUUAUCCAAUGAUGUUUGGAUUUAAAGCAAGCCUGGUCUUAUUUAAAACACUUUACAAUAGGCAUCAGCAAAGAUUAACUAUUUAUUUUUUACAACAACACAAUGUAUUGUAAAAUAUUUACAGAUUUUUGCUGGCAACUCGAGUUGCCAGGUAAUGUCUGUAAUUUGAAAAGAAAACAAGAUAAUGUUGUAAACUAAAUUACAAUAAAGUAGUGUUUUAAUAUAAAAACCUAAUACUUUGCUGUAAUUUAUGUACAACAAUAACCUGUAAACGAAAUCCAGUAUUAUACUGUAAUUCAUUUUUACAGUUAUUAAAAGCAAAUUCACAAAACUUUACAAGAUUUUACUGGCAACUUUUUUGCCAGGUACUUACUGUAAAAUCUACAGGCAAAUUCGUUACAGUGUGUUUUAUCCAAAUUCCCAAGAAUCACUGAUAUAAUGCACAAAAAUAAACAAGAACUAUUAGAGGAGUGAUUAAAAUAAGAAAUAUAUAAGGUGCCAUUAAUGUUUACAGUAAUUUUGUAAUGUACACAGUGAAGUGUAAAUAACAACAUAAUGUGAAAAUCUUAAAAUACUACACAGAUAUUACACAAUACUCUGUAAUUCCUUAUAAGUCAGUGUUUCCGCUAUAUACAUUCAACCGUGGCGGCCCGCCACUCCUAAAACAUCCCCGCCACGCCUGCGGUUGUGGAUAGAAGGGAUACAGCAAACGAAAUCUCGUUGGAUGAGCACUGUUUUAUCCUAAUCCUUUAACCAAACCCAACUCUAAACACAAAAUUUCACACGAUUGUAGGAUGUAUUUGUAUCUAAUUUAGCCAGAACCGCUGUUUUCAUCCUAAUAAUCCUACCUCCAAAUCUAAUCCUUAACUUUUCGGCAUUUGCUGUAUCCCUUCUAGACAAAACCCACAGCGGCAGCUCGCAAAAAAGCUACCGAAAUGUCCGCUCUGCGAGACUGGCUGUCUAGAAAUAAAUUCCUUUCUGGAUUUGCGUUGUUCACUCAUUUAUAA